AUAUAGCUUGGUGGCAAAGCGCCUGCCUGGCAAGCACAAGGUCCUGAGUUCAAUUCCCAGUUU
rnacentral:tRNA from 1 species